UACGUAGGGUGCGAGCGUUGUCCGGAAUUAUUGGGCGUAAAGAGCUCGUAGGCGGUUCGGCAAGUCGGGUGUGAAAACUCCAGGCUCAACCUGGAGACGCCACCCGAUACUGCUGUGACUCGAGUCCGGUAGGGGACCACGGAAUUCCUGGUGUAGCGGUGAAAUGCGCAGAUAUCAGGAGGAACACCGGUGGCGAAGGCGGUGGUCUGGGCCGGAACUGACGCUGAGGAGCGAAAGCGUGGGGAGCGAACAGG
rnacentral:rRNA from 1 species